GCCUCCUAAGUAUUUCUCGUACGUCUGCCUUCCAAGCAGAAAGAUUAGGACGAAUCCUAAAGGUGGCA
rnacentral:tRNA from 1 species